AUGAGGUGCUCUCUUCAGUUCCUGGGGUUGCUUGUGCUCUGGAUUCCUGGAGUCAAUGGGGAUAUUGUGAUGACUCAGAGUGCACUCCCCAAUCCUGUCCCUUCAGGAGAGUCAGCUUCCAUCACCUGCAGGUCUAGUAAGAGUCUGGCAUACAAAGACGGCAAGACAUACUUGAAUUGGUUUCUGCAGAGGCCAGGACAGUCUCCUCAGCUCCUGACUUAUUGGACGUCUACCCGUGCAUCAGGAGUCUCAGAGAGGUUCAGUGGCAGUGGGUCAGGAACAUAUUUCACACUGAAAAUCAGUAGAGUGAGGGCUGAGGAUGCGGGUGUGUAUUACUGUCAGCAAGUUCGAGAGUAUCCGCCACAGUGA